rnacentral:rRNA from 1 species
AGUGAACGCUGGCGGUAGGCCUAACACAUGCAAGUCGAACGGCAGCACAGUAAGAGCUUGCUCUUACGGGUGGCGAGUGGCGGACGGGUGAGGAAGACAUCGGAAUCUACUUUUUCGUGGGGGAUAACGUAGGGAAACUUACGCUAAUACCGCAUACGACCUUCGGGUGAAAGCAGGGGAUCUUCGGACCUUGCGCGAUUGAAUGAGCCGAGGUCGGAUUAGCUAGUUGGCGGGGUAAAGGCCCACCAAGGCGACGACCCGUGGCUGGUCUGAGAGGAUGAUCGGCCACACUGGACCUGGGCAACGGUCCAAACUCCUAGGGGAGGCAGAAGUGGGGAAUAUUGGACAAUGGGCGAAAGCCUGAUCCAGCCAUACCGCGUGGGUGAAGAAGGCCUUCGGGUUGUAAAGCCCUUUUGUUGGGAAAGAAAAGCAGCAGGUUAAAACCCCGCUGUUCUGACGGUACCCAAAGAAUAAGCACCGGCUAACUUCGUG